rnacentral:lncRNA from 1 species
CAUUUUGCAUUGGAGUCUUCCAGAAGGCUGAGGUGAACUGUUAGCUUUGGGCUGGUGCUUGAAAGACAAUUGGGGUGCUUGAAAGAAGCUUUUCAAGUAGAAAAAGUGUAUUUGAACAUGUAAUUGAUACAUAGAAGCUUUUGCUUUCCUUGUCCCUCUUGUGGUAG